rnacentral:rRNA from 1 species
UACGAAGGGUGCAAGCGUUACUCGGAAUUACUGGGCGUAAAGGGUUCGUAGGCGGUGUGGCAAGUCGGGAGUGAAAUCUCUGGGCUUAACUCAGAGGCUGCUUCCGAAACUGCCGUGCUAGAGUGCGGGAGAGGCGAGUGGAAUUGCAGGUGUAGCGGUGAAAUGCGUAGAUAUCUGCAGGAACACCCGUGGCGAAGGCGGCUCGCUGGACCGCAACUGACGCUGAGGAACGAAAGCUAGGGGAGCAAACAGG